rnacentral:misc_RNA from 1 species
GAUGAAGAACGCAGCGAAAUGCGAUAAGUAAUGUGAAUUGCAGAAUUCAGUGAAUCAUCGAAUCUUUGAACGCACAUUGCGCCCGCUAGUAUUCUGGCGGGCAUGCCUGUUCGAGCGUCAUUACAACCCUCAGGCCCCCGGGCCUGGCGUUGGGGAUCGGCGGAAGCCCCCUGCGGGCACAACGCCGUCCCCCAAAUACAGUGGCGGUCCCGCCGCAGCUUCCAUUGCGUAGUAGCUAACACCUCGCAACUGGAGAGCGGCGCGGCCACGCCGUAAAACACCCAACUUCUGAAUGUUGACCUCGAAUCAGGUAGGAAUACCCGCUGAACUUAAGCAUAUCAAUAAGCGGAGGA